UCAGCAUGGCCUUAUGCCUGGGGCUACACACAUGAUACAAUGGUCGGUACAAAGAGUUGCGACAUCGCGAGGUGAAGCCUAAUCGUCAUAAAGCCGAUCUCAGUCCAGAUUGGAGGCUGCAACUCGCCUCCAUGAAGUUGGAAUUGCUAGUAAUCGUGAAUCAGAUAUGUCACGGUGAAUAUGUUCCUGGGUCUU
rnacentral:rRNA from 1 species